rnacentral:sRNA from 1 species
ACACCAGUCAUUGGGGAGUAGCCUGUUCCAGAAGACUUCUGGAAAAUUCGUAUCAACAUACUCGUUUGCAUAAAACGUGGUACGAAUGCCAAAUCGGUUGGCAAGACCAUAGACACAUAA